rnacentral:rRNA from 1 species
GACGAACCGUGCGAACGUUAUUCGGAAUCACUGGGCUUAAAGGGUGCGUAGGCGGGUCUACAAGUCAGGGGUGAAAGCCCACGGCCCAACCGUGGAAGUGCCUCUGAUACUGUAGGCCUUGAGGGGGAUAGGGGCAUGCGGAACUCAGGGUGGAGCGGUGAAAUGCGUAGAUAUCCUGAGGAACACCGGUGGCGAAAGCGGCGUGCUAGGUCCCUUCUGACGCUGAGGCACGAAAGCCAGGGGAGCAAACGGG